rnacentral:rRNA from 1 species
CACACUAUCAUUAACUGAAUCCAUAGGUUAAUGAGGCGAACCGGGGGAACUGAAACAUCUAAGUACCCCGAGGAAAAGAAAUCAACCGAGAUUCCCCCAGUAGCGGCGAGCGAACGGGGAGGAGCCCAGAGCCUGAAUCAGUGUGUGUGUUAGUGGAAGCGUCUGGAAAGGCGCGCGAUACAGGGUGACAGCCCCGUACACAAAAAUGCACAUAUUGUGAGCUCGAUGAGUAGGGCGGGACACGUGGUAUCCUGUCUGAAUAUGGGGGGACCAUCCUCCAAGGCUAAAUACUCCUGACUGACCGAUAGUGAACCAGUACCGUGAGGGAAAGGCGAAAAGAACCCCGGCGAGGGGAGUGAAAAAGAACCUGAAACCGUGUACGUACAAGCAGUGGGAGCACGCUUAGGCGUGUGACUGCGUACCUUUUGUAUAAUGGGUCAGCGACUUAUAUUCUGUAGCAAGGUUAACCGAAUAGGGGAGCCGAAGGGAAACCGAGUCUUAACUGGGCGUUAAGUUGCAGGGUAUAGACCCGAAACCCGGUGAUCUAGCCAUGGGCAGGUUGAAGGUUGGGUAACACUAACUGGAGGACCGAACCGACUAAUGUUGAAAAAUUAGCGGAUGACUUGUGGCUGGGGGUGAAAGGCCAAUCAAACCGGGAGAUAGCUGGUUCUCCCCGAAAGCUAUUUAGGUAGCGCCUCGUGAAUUCAUCUCCGGGGGUAGAGCACUGUUUCGGCAAGGGGGUCAUCCCGACUUACCAACCCGAUGCAAACUGCGAAUACCGGAGAAUGUUAUCACGGGAGACACACGGCGGGUGCUAACGUCCGUCGUGAAGAGGGAAACAACCCAGACCGCCAGCUAAGGUCCCAAAGUCAUGGUUAAGUGGGAAACGAUGUGGGAAGGCCCAGACAGCCAGGAUGUUGGCUUAGAAGCAGCCAUCAUUUAAAGAAAGCGUAAUAGCUCACUGGUCGAGUCGGCCUGCGCGGAAGAUGUAACGGGGCUAAACCAUGCACCGAAGCUGCGGCAGCGACGCUUAUGCGUUGUUGGGUAGGGGAGCGUUCUGUAAGCCUGUGAAGGUGUGCUGUGAGGCAUGCUGGAGGUAUCAGAAGUGCGAAUGCUGACAUAAGUAACGAUAAAGCGGGUGAAAAGCCCGCUCGCCGGAAGACCAAGGGUUCCUGUCCAACGUUAAUCGGGGCAGGGUGAGUCGACCCCUAAGGCGAGGCCGAAAGGCGUAGUCGAUGGGAAACAGGUUAAUAUUCCUGUACUUGGUGUUACUGCGAAGGGGGGACGGAGAAGGCUAUGUUGGCCGGGCGACGGUUGUCCCGGUUUAAGCGUGUAGGCUGGUUUUCCAGGCAAAUCCGGAAAAUCAAGGCUGAGGCGUGAUGACGAGGCACUACGGUGCUGAAGCAACAAAUGCCCUGCUUCCAGGAAAAGCCUCUAAGCAUCAGGUAACAUCAAAUCGUACCCCAAACCGACACAGGUGGUCAGGUAGAGAAUACCAAGGCGCUUGAGAGAACUCGGGUGAAGGAACUAGGCAAAAUGGUGCCGUAACUUCGGGAGAAGGCACGCUGAUAUGUAGGUGAAGUCCCUCGCGGAUGGAGCUGAAAUCAGUCGAAGAUACCAGCUGGCUGCAACUGUUUAUUAAAAACACAGCACUGUGCAAACACGAAAGUGGACGUAUACGGUGUGACGCCUGCCCGGUGCCGGAAGGUUAAUUGAUGGGGUCAGCGCAAGCGAAGCUCUUGAUCGAAGCCCCGGUAAACGGCGGCCGUAACUAUAACGGUCCUAAGGUAGCGAAAUUCCUUGUCGGGUAAGUUCCGACCUGCACGAAUGGCGUAAUGAUGGCCAGGCUGUCUCCACCCGAGACUCAGUGAAAUUGAACUCGCUGUGAAGAUGCAGUGUACCCGCGGCAAGACGGAAAGACCCCGUGAACCUUUACUAUAGCUUGACACUGAACAUUGAGCCUUGAUGUGUAGGAUAGGUGGGAGGCUUUGAAGUGUGGACGCCAGUCUGCAUGGAGCCGACCUUGAAAUACCACCCUUUAAUGUUUGAUGUUCUAACGUUGACCCGUGAUCCGGGUUGCGGACAGUGUCUGGUGGGUAGUUUGACUGGGGCGGUCUCCUCCUAAAGAGUAACGGAGGAGCACGAAGGUUGGCUAAUCCUGGUCGGACAUCAGGAGGUUAGUGCAAUGGCAUAAGCCAGCUUGACUGCGAGCGUGACGGCGCGAGCAGGUGCGAAAGCAGGUCAUAGUGAUCCGGUGGUUCUGAAUGGAAGGGCCAUCGCUCAACGGAUAAAAGGUACUCCGGGGAUAACAGGCUGAUACCGCCCAAGAGUUCAUAUCGACGGCGGUGUUUGGCACCUCGAUGUCGGCUCAUCACAUCCUGGGGCUGAAGUAGGUCCCAAGGGUAUGGCUGUUCGCCAUUUAAAGUGGUACGCGAGCUGGGUUUAGAACGUCGUGAGACAGUUCGGUCCCUAUCUGCCGUGGGCGCUGGAGAACUGAGGGGGGCUGCUCCUAGUACGAGAGGACCGGAGUGGACGCAUCACUGGUGUUCGGGUUGUCAUGCCAAUGGCACUGCCCGGUAGCUAAAUGCGGAAGAGAUAAGUGCUGAAAGCAUCUAAGCACGAAACUUGCCCCGAGAUGAGUUCUCCCUGACCCUUUAAGGGUCCUGAAGGAACGUUGAAGACGACGACGUUGAUAGGCCGGGUGUGUAAGCGCAGCGAUGCGUUGAGCUAACCGGUACUAAUGAACCGUGAGGCUUAACCUU